UGGCGACCGGCAAACGGGUGCGGAACACGUACGCAACCUUCCCAAAACUGGGGAAUAGCCCUCCGAAAGGAGGAUUAAUACCCCGUAAGAUAAUGGAGUGGCAUCACUUUAUUAUUAUAGCUACGGCGGUUUUGGAUGGGCGUGCGCCUGAUUAGGUAGUUGGCGGGGUAACGGCCCACCAAGCCUGCGAUCAGUAACUGGUGUGAGAGCACGACCAGUCACACGGGCACUGAGACACGGGCCCG
rnacentral:rRNA from 1 species